GUGUUCACUUCAGCAGCACAUUACUAAAAUUGGAAUAAUACAGAGAAGAUUAGCAUGGCCCCUGUGCAAGGAUGACAUGCAAAUUCCAUUUUU
rnacentral:snRNA from 1 species